UUAGCAUGGAAUAAUGGAAUAGGACGUAUGGUUCUAUUUUGUUGGUUUCUAGGACCAUCGUAAUGAUUAAUAGGGACGGUCGGGGGCAUCAGUAUUCAGUUGUCAGAGGUGAAAUUCUUGGAUUAACUGAAGACUAACUACUGCGAAAGCAUUUGCCAAGGACGUUUUCAUUAAUCAAGAACGAAAGUUAGGGGAUCGAAGAUGAUCAGAUACCGUCGUAGUCUUAACCAUAAACUAUGCCGACUAGGGAUCGGGUGGCGCUAUUUUGCCCACUCGGCACCUUACGAGAAAUCAAAGUUUUUGGGUUCUGGGGGGAGUAUGGUCGCAAGGCUGAAACUUAAAGGAAUUGACGGAAGGGCACCACCAGGAGUGGAGCCUGCGGCUUAAUUUGACUCAACACGGGGAAACUCACCAGGUCCAGACGUAAUAAGGAUUGACAAGUUAGAGACUUCUCUUGAUCUUACGGGUGGUGGUGCAUGGCCGUUUUUAGUCCUUGGAGUGAUUUGUCUGCUUAAUUGCGAUAACGGACGAGACCUUAACCUGCUAAAUAGGGCUGCAAGCAUCUGCUCGUGGGCUCUUCUUAGAGGGACUAUGGGUAUCAAACCCAUGGAAGUUUGAGGCAACAACAGGUCUGUCAUGCCCUUAGACGUUCUGGGCCGCACGCGCGCUACACUGACGGAGCCAGCAAGUAUAUCCUUGGUCGAGAGGCCCGGGUAAUCUCGUGAAACUCCGUCGUGCUGGGGAUAGAGCAUUGCAAU
rnacentral:rRNA from 1 species